AGUGAACGCUGGCGGUAUGCCUAACACAUGCAAGUCGAACGGCAGCACAGUAAGAGCUUGCUCUUACUGGUGGCGAGUGGCGGACGGGUGAGGAAUACAUCGGAAUCUACUUUUUCGUGGGGGAUAACGUAGAGAAACUUACGCUAAUACCGCAUACGACCUACGGGUGAAAGCAGGGGAUCUUCGGACCUUUCGCGAUUGAAUGAGCCGAUGUCGGAUUAGCUAGUUGGCGGGGUAAAGGCCCACCAAGGCGACGAUCCGUAGCUGGUCUGAGAGGAUGAUCAGCCACACUGGAACUGAGACACGGUCCAGACUCCUACGGGAGGCAGCAGUGGGGAAUAUUGGACAAUGGGCGAAAGCCUGAUCCAGCAAUACCGCGUGGGUGAAGAAGGCCUUCGGGUUGUAAAGCCCUUUUGUUGGGAAAGAAAAGCAGCAGGUUAAUACCCCGCUGUUCUGACGGUACCCAAAGAAUAAGCACCGGCUAACUUCGUG
rnacentral:rRNA from 1 species